rnacentral:rRNA from 1 species
GUUGAGUUGCUACCAGAAGCAGGUAGCCUGACCGCAAGGGGGCGCCUACCACGGUGUGGUCAAUGACUGGGGUG